rnacentral:rRNA from 1 species
CACGUAGGCGGAUCGGUCAGUUAGGGGUGAAAUCCCGGGGCUCAACCCCGGAACUGCCUUUAAUACUGCCGAUCUCGAGUCCGGAAGAGGUGAGUGGAAUUCCGAGUGUAGAGGUGAAAUUCGUAGAUAUUCGGAGGAACACCAGUGGCGAAGGCGGCUCACUGGUCCGGUACUGACGCUGAGGUGCGAAAGCGUGGGGAGCAAACA